CUGCAGCCCGAGUGGUGAUCGAUUUUAUUGGGCCUAAAGCGUCCGUAGCCGGUCUAGUAAAUCCUUGGAUAAAUCGUACAGCUUAACUGUACGGCUCCCGGGGAGACUGCUAGACUUGGGACUGGGAGAGGUCGGAGGUACUCCAGGGGUAGGGGUGAAAUCUUGUAAUCCUUGGGGGACCACCAGUGGCGAAGGCGUCCGACUAGAACGGGUCCGACGGUAAGGGACGAAGCCCUGGGGCGCGAACCGGAUUAGAUACCCGAGUAGUCC
rnacentral:rRNA from 1 species